CGGAUCCGGGCAAGUUGUUUCGAAGAAAAAGGUCCUGCUCAAAGUUCUUAAAAAAACACCCGCCAUUAGCUCUACGCCUCUUUGUCAUCUCCAUCCGUCCUUCAUUCUGCUAUCGGGAAAUGCACUGUGCAGAGAGCUGUAAUCGACUGCUCUCUCUCUCUUGCUCGAGCUGAUGUUGAGGAGCCCUCGACCCCCCGCUUUCUUUCUCCACUCGCAGCACUCGCCAUCUUCAGCUUCUGUCCCUCGCUCCGCCACAUUCUCUUCCCCCAAGUCGUCCCUUUUGCUGGAUUCGAGUCAACCGUCCGGAAUCGGAUCGACAAUGCCGCCGCGUCAUCUCAUCACCUAAUGUCGAGUUCAAACCGGGGGCUUUGUAUGUGUUAUUUCAAGAACUGGGGCUCAACGAGAAAGAGACUGAAGGACCCGAAUCUGAGGCUGAAGUCUAUCGGCUCGUUGUGGGCUCGUGUCGCCUCUUUGAAAUCUGUCGGAAUCAGUGGCCUUGAGCUCUGCCAUUUGGUUGCGAAACGCCCUUCUGUGUUGCAGCAGGUGAAAUCGAUCCCUUUAUACUCUUUGUGCACGACAAAUUAGAUGGAAAGGUUGACCCAAUGCAGCUUAAGCGUCUCUUUAUGUCAACUGAGCCGCGAUUCGUAGCUGGAUUUGAGGAAAAGGUUAAUUUGCUGAUUGACGGUGGGAUUCCUAGAGAAAAGAUUGUUCAUGUUCUCAACAACGUGAAUUUAAGGAAGGCUUUGUCUCUUAAGCCCUUUGAAGAAAUUGAAAGGCUCCUUAAUUUCUCGAGCCGCUAUGGUGGGGUUGAUUUGAUUGUGAGGCAUCCCCCCAUUCUUAACUUCAAUAUGGAUAGCCAAUUGAUUCCGAGAGUGGAGUUUCUCCUAGAACUUAGCAGAGGAGAUGAGGAUGCAACCGGGGCAGUGUUGCGCAAACUGCCUACCUUUUUGAAAUACCAUGUGGAACACUUGGAAAGCCAUGUAGAGUUCUUGAGGUCAUUUGCAGGAUUAGAUGAUCAAGAAAUAUUCAGGACCAUUCUUGUGUUUCCUAGCAUUGUUAGCACGAGCAAGGAGAGGAAAUUGCAUGCCUGAAUUAGUUUUCUAAAGGAAUGUGGAUUCAACUCCAAUGAGAUUUUCAAGUUCUUCACAAAAGCCCCUUUGUUUUUGGGUCUAUCUUUUGAGGGGAACAUUCUUAUAAGGUGGGUUUUUUGGUGAAGAUGGUUACAAGUACAGAGUGUAGGAAUUCACAGUUGCAAUAGGCUCUGUCACUAGGACAAGUUGUGAGAACAUGCAGAAGGUGAUUGAGCUCUUCUUGAGUUAUGGGUUUUCUUGCGAAGAUGUGCUUAUCAUGAGUAAGAAGCAUCCUCAAAUGCUUCAAUACAAUCCUGAUUCUCACGCAGACAAAGUGGAAUUUUUGGCGGGGGAGAUGGGACGCGACCUUGAUGAGCUAUUGGAUUUCCCUGCAUUUCUUGGUUACAAACUUGAUAGUAGAAUUAAGCAUAGGUACGAGGUAAAGAAGAAGAUUAUAGGUGAAGGAAUGUUGAUCAACGAGCUGCUCAGGCGAGAUUUGCAAAGAAGAAGCUAGAUAAGUUGGUGCACAAAGCCUAAAAAUUGAGGGUUGCUAAAUUUAAUCAGCAGAAGUUGCUGGCAAAAUUGACGAAAAUUGUUUAGUAACUGAGUUUUCUCAAAGCUCGAAGGCUUUUGCUUUCUUUCAGGUGAAAUUCUGGCUUGACUUCCUUAGGUGAAGAUAGAGAGUCAUUUUUUUCAUCCCUAUACCUGCAAAGCCAUUAUGAAGUUUGAACAAAAUGGUCGAUGCCCAGUUGAAUGAAAUGACUGAGUAUGCUCCAUUUUAAGGUAAACGCGACAAGAAAAGUAGCUGAUCUUUGUAUUUGUGUAACUGUCAAUUACAAGGGAAUCCACCCUAAGUUGAUAGCAAUGCUUCUUUGCUCCCACAUUUUUCUGUUCUUAAUCCUGAAAUCUUGAAAAAUGUGAUCUGACACUUGAAAAUAAUCUGGUCAAUGUGCAUGCGGCAUCAAGACAUGGUUGCCCUUGUUAUGCAAUUCAGAUAAACUUCCUAACCGGGAUGGUCAGAAUUGAUGAGUUAACAUGAUCGAAAGGCAUCUCUGAUCAGGAAAGUCUUUUCACCAAUAGAAACAACAUAUGAUUGAGUGUUAAUUGUAGUUCUUUCCGGUUCGUUCUUUGAUUAAAUUACAUCCUGUAAAAUAUAUGACUGUGAGUCCAGGAUUACCUCACAGGGGAUUUUCAUCGGCAACAAAACCGAGGAUCAAUUAUCCUCAAGAGAUCUGCAAAAGGCAUGGCAUUUAUGCAUAAUAGGUUCCACUGGCAACUUUAUUCUUUCUCCUGUGCGGCCAGACAAAGGUUAUCUUUGAAAUGUCAGAUUGAAAGACACCUUAAGAUGAAGUAACCAUACUGCGAUGAUGGAAUAUGACCAUGGGGAGGUAAGAAUUCCUAUACCCACGAAAUCGCAGUGAUUAUUGAAUGUUGCAAACUCAUCAUAUUCAGGGAUGGACAUUGAUAUUCCUAGUACAUGGUGUUAUUCUACUGCGUUUCUAUCCUAUAUUUGGUAAUCCUGCAUUGCAUUUCUACAUUAUAUAAAUAGAUGUCAUUGCAGGAGAAAUAAGAACAAAAUUUUCUCAUGCAUGGUGACAUGGUUUCGUGGUUAAGCGUCAAAACUGAUGUACUAUGAAGAAAAACUAAUUUUAAAUCUUACAAAUUUUCCGUGAGAGUGAACUGGAAAUUAAGUGAAAUUUUUUCUUUACCCACCUCCUUUUUCCUCUUUCCUCACUCUCCCAAACAAAGCAUUAAAAUAGUACCACAAAGAUCAGGUCCCACUCAGAUUGGGGGUGAGUCCUCUUAUGCCCAUAUAAUGAGUCCUCAUGCUAGCCUUUUUCUACUCUAAUUGUAUAUGAAUUCUCAACUGUAUUUCAGUCUGUGAUUGUUGUAUUUCGGCAGAUGAUUGGAUCGUGAUUUUAAUCUAUUUGAGAGUCGAAAACAAAUAAGAAAUCACUACAAACAAUGGACAAAUCAAUGGACUUAUCUAGCAAGUAACCAAAAUUAUUGUUCCAUAUGAAAGAACAAAUCAUUGGACUUAUAAAAUGCGGUUUCAAGGUAUUGCAUCAAAACUAAUGAGGUAUGUCGCGACAUGGAAAAGAAGUUUCGAGGUGAGCUAGUUUUUAUUUUUGAUCUUGUCCCUCAAAACUAUUCAUCAAUAUUCCAAUGAUGGUGACUCGUGCGGUGAAGAAGGAAGUUGAAGAAGAAGGGAGGAGGGAAAGAACAAAGUAGAAAAUAAGAAGAAUUAUGUAUCAGAAGUAAGCGGACUUGUUUGUUGAUGGGAUGUGGAACGAACAAUCACGUGGACAACAGUGGAAGAAAGGUGGAGAUAGCCCAAAAAGAAAGAUUAUAUGUGAAGAAAACUUCUUUUGAACGUUUGAUGGGUGUAAAUUUGCUGAUUGACAGUGGGAUUCCUAGAGAAAAGAUUGUUCCUGUUCUCAAUGAUGUGAAUUUAACGAAGGCUUCGUCUUGUAAGCCUUUUGAAGAAAUUGAAAGGCCUAUUAAUUUCUUGAGCUACUGUGGUGGGGUUGGUUUGAUUGGGAGGCAUAUUCCCAUUCUUAACUUUGAUACGGAUAGCCAUUGAUUCCAAGAUUUGAGUUUCUCCUAGAGUUUAGCGAAGGAGAUGAGGAUGCCACUGGGGCAGUGUUCAGGAUUAUUCGUGUUUCCUAACAUUGUCAGCGUGAGCAAGGAGAGGAAUCUCAAAGAAUGUGGACUCAACUCCAAUGAGAUUCUCAAGUUCUUGACAAAAGCCCUUUUGUUUUUGGGUCUGUCUUUUGAGGGGAACGUUGCUUAUAAGCUGGGGUUUUUGGUGAAAAUUGUUUACAAGUACAGAACGAAGGAAUUCCCAGUUGCAGUAGGUGCUGUGACUAGGACAACUUGUGAAAAUAUGCAGAAGGUGAUUGAGCUCUUCUUGAGUUACAGGUUUUCUUGUGAAGACAUGCUUCUCAUGAGUAAAAAGCAUCCUCAAAUACUUCAGUACAAUCCUGAUUCUCUAGAGGAGAAAGUGGAACAUUUGGUGGGGGAGAUGGGACGCAACCUUUAUGAGCUAUUGGAUUUACCUGCAUUUCUUGGUUACGAACUUGAUGGUAGAAUUAAGCAUAGGUAUGAGGUCAAGAAGAAGAUUAUAGGUGUAGGAAUGUCAAUCAACAAGCUGCUUAGUGUUUCAUCUGCGAGAUUUGCAAAGAAGCUAGCAAAGUUGGCGCACAAAUCAUAAAAAAUUAAGGGUUGCUAAAUUUCAUCAGCAGAAGUUGAUGGCAACAUUGAUGAAAAUUAUUUAGUCACUGAGUUUUCUCAAAACUUAAAGCUUUUGCUUUUUUAGGUGAAAUUCUGGCUUGACUUCCUUAGGUGAAGAUAGAAAGUUAUCAUUUUCAUCCCUAAACCUGCAAAGCCAUUAUGAAGUUUGAAGAAAAUGGUCGAUAUCCAGUUGAAUGAAAUGACUGAUUAUGCUCCAUUUUAAGGUUAAAGCAACAAGAUUGGUGGCUGAUCUUUGUAUUUGUGUAAUUGUCAAUUACAAAGGAAUCCACCUUGGGUCGAUAGCAAUAUUUCUUUGGUUGCUCCCACAUUUUUCUGUUCUUAGUCCUGAAAUCUUGAAAAAAGUGAUCUGACAUUGAAAAUAAUCUUGUCAGUGUGCAUGAGGCA